UACAGAGGUCCCGAGCGUUGUUCGGAUUCAUUGGGCGUAAAGGGUGCGUAGGCGGUUUCCUAAGUUUGAUGUGAAAUCCCGGGGCUUAACCCUGGAAUUGCAUUGAAUACUGGGAGACUAGAGUACUGGAGAGGAAACUGGAAUUUACGGUGUAGCAGUGAAAUGCGUAGAGAUCGUAAGGAAGACCAGUGGCGAAGGCGAGUUUCUGGACAGUUACUAACGCUGAGGCACGAAGGCCAGGGGAGCAAACGGG
rnacentral:rRNA from 1 species